GUGGAUUAGAUACCCUGGUAGUCCAUGCCGUAAACGUUGGGCGCUAGAUGUGGGGACCAUUCCACGGUUUCCGUGUCGUAGCUAACGCAUUAAGCGCCCCGCCUGGGGAGUACGGCCGCAAGGCUAAAACUCAAAGGAAUUGACGGGGGCCCGCACAAGCGGCGGAGCAUGCGGAUUAAUUCGAUGCAACGCGAAGAACCUUACCAAGGCUUGACAUAUACCGGAAACGUUCAGAAAUGUUCGCCCCGCAAGGUCGGUAUACAGGUGGUGCACGGCCGUCGACAGCU
rnacentral:rRNA from 1 species